rnacentral:rRNA from 1 species
AGUUGCGAACGGGUGAGUAACGCGUAGGUAACCUGCCUGAUAGCGGGGGAUAACUAUUGGAAACGAUAGCUAAUACCGCAUAAGAGGUAAUAACACAUGUUAUUAGUUUAAAAGGGGCAAUUGCUCCACUAUCAGAUGGACCUGCGUUGUAUUAGCUAGUUGGUAAGGUAACGGCUUACCAAGGCGACGAUACAUAGCCGACCUGAGAGGGUGAUCGGCCACACUGGGACUGAGACACGGCCCAGACUCCUACGGGAGGCAGCAGUAGGGAAUCUUCGGCAAUGGGGGCAACCCUGACCGAGCAACGCCGCGUGAGUGAAGAAGGUUUUCGGAUCGUAAAGCUCUGUUGUAAGAGAAGAACGGAUGUGGGAGUGGAAAAUCCAUGUCGUGACGGUAUCUUACCAGAAAGGGACGGCUAACUACGUGCCAGCAGCCGCGGUAAUACGUAGGUCCCGAGCGUUGUCCGGAUUUAUUGGGCGUAAAGCGAGCGCAGGCGGUUUCAUAAGUCUGAAGUUAAAGGCAGUGGCUUAACCAUUGUACGCUUUGGAAACUGUGAGACUUGAGUGCAGAAAGGGAGAGUGGAAUUCCAUGUGUAGCGGUGAAAUGCGUAGAUAUAUGGAGGAACACCGGUGGCGAAAGCG